AGGGAAUAUUGGACAAUGGGCGCAAGCCUGAUCCAGCAAUACCACGUGAGUGAUGAAGGUCUUCGGAUUGUAAAGCUCUUUUAGUAGGGAAGAUAAUGACGGUACCUACAGAAAAAGCACCGGCUAACUUCGUGCCAGCAGCCGCGGUAAUACGAAGGGUGCUAGCGUUGUUCGGAAUCAUUGGGCGUAAAGCGUGCGUAGGCGGCUUGGCAAGUCAAGUGUGAAAUCCCGGGGCUUAACCUCGGAAUUGCGCUUGAAACUGCUUUGCUAGAGUAUGAAGAGGGAUAGUGGAAUUCCUAGUGUAGGGGUGAAAUCCGUAGAUAUUAGGAGGAACACCGGUGGCGAAAGCGACUAUCUAUAUCAUUACUGACGCUGUUGCACGAAAGCGUGGGGAGCAAAC
rnacentral:rRNA from 1 species